AACGAGCGCAACCCUCGACCUUAGUUGCCAGCAUUCAGUUGGGCACUCUAAGGUGACUGCGGCUAAAAGUCGGAGGAAGUGGGGAUGACGUCAAAUCAUCAUGCCCCUUAUGACCUGGGCUACACACGUGCUACAAUGGGCGGUACAAAGGGUCGCGAACCCGCAGGGGGAGCCAAUCCCAAAAAGCCGCUCUCAGUUCGGAUUGCAGGCUGCAACUCGCCUGCAUGAAGCCGGAAUCGCUAGUAAUCGCGGAUCAGCAUGCCGCGGUCGAAUACGUUCCCGGGCCUU
rnacentral:rRNA from 1 species